UACUCCUACGGGGGGCAGCAGUAGGGAAUCUUCCACAAUGGGCGCAAGCCUGAUGGAGCAACACCGCGUGAGUGAAGAAGGGUUUCGGCUCGUAAAGCUCUUUUGUUGGAGAAGAACGUGCGGGAGAGUAACUGGUCACGCAGUGACGGUAUCCAACCAGAAAGUCACGGCUAACUAAGUGCCAGCAGCCGCGGUAAUACGUAGGUGGCAAGCGUUAUCCGGCUUUAUUUGGCGUAAAGCGCGCGCAGG
rnacentral:rRNA from 1 species